GAUUAGCGGCGGGCCUAACACAUGCAAGUCGAACGCGAAAGGUCCUCGGACUGAUUGAGUGGCGCACGGGUGAGUAACACGUAGGUAAUCUACCCUUUGGCGGGGGAUAACGUUCCGAAAGGGACGCUAAUACCGCAUAAGACCACGACGUCUUUGGGCGAUGUGGGAAAAGGUGGCCUCUUCUUGAAAGCUACCACCGAAGGAUGAGCCUGCGUCCCAUCAGCUAGUUGGUAAGGUAAUGGCUUACCAAGGCGAAGACGGGUAGCUGGUUUGAGAGAAUGAUCAGCCACACUGGCACUGGAACACGGGCCAGACUCCUACGGGAGGCAGCAGUGAGGAAUAUUGGGCAAUGGGCGAAAGCCUGACCCAGCCACGCCGCGUGAGUGAUGAAGGCCUUCGGGUCGUAAAGCUCUGUGGAGAGGGACGAAAACCCUGGUUUUGAAUAAGCUCCAGGCUUGACGGUACCUCUUUAGCAAGCACCGGCUAACUCUGUGCCAGCAGCCGCGGUAAUACAGAGGGUGCAAACGUUGCUCGGAUUUACUGGGCGUAAAGCGCGUGUAGGCGGGUUCAUAAGUCGGACGUGAAAGCCCUGGGCUCAACCCAGGAACUGCGUUCGAAACUGCGAACCUUGAGUAGUGGAGAGGAAAGUAGAAUUCCCGGUGUAGAGGUGAAAUUCGUAGAUAUCGGGAGGAAUACCAGUGGCGAAGGCGGCUUUCUGGACACUUACUGACGCUGAGACGCGAAAGCGUGGGGAGCAAACAGGAUUAGAUACCCUGGUAGUCCACGCUGUAAACGAUGUGUGCUAGGUGUCGCGGGAUUUGACUUCUGCGGUGCCGUAGCUAACGCGUAAGCACACC
rnacentral:rRNA from 1 species